AAUGGGACACAUGUCGUUGAAAAGCCACGUGGUGGCGAAGACGCAUGACAUGCAAUGCAGAGAGUUGGAAGCUUGAAGUAGACGAAUGAUUAUAUUUGAGGAUUGAAACCAGACAUAUGGCGUAAAAUAAAUAAAAAAGUAAAAUGCAGGGAAGAGUGGUGUAAGUGGUGGUGGUAGUAGUAGUAUUAGGAAUAGGAAGACUGAGAGAUAAUGAUGAUGAAGAUGAUGAUGAUGCGUCGUCUAAUGGUAACAAGGGCAUCCAACCGUGCUGCCGUGCACGGUGCAAAGCUUCCUGUCACCGAGACAAUCGACAAGGAACAAGUGGACAAGGACAUUAACGAAGGCAGAGAAAUGAAAGAAAACAAGAUAAAAGAGGUGGAGAAGACUGUUGAUUCCCAAUUCAACAAUUCCCAUGUGGAUCACAAACUCACUCCUCCUCCUCCUCCUACUGUUAACAAGACUUGAUAUCAUUUACUACCUGUAACCAAUCUUGAAUUAUCAGUGACUAUUUGUUUUCUGUGUUUGCUUACACCCACCAACCUUUGCUGUCUGUAGUUUCGGAAACCCAUAAAUCUUCCUCCUAUAAUGGAAACAAUCUACAGGAAUAUAACUACGCCAAUUUCCGACCA